CCUACGGGGGGCAGCAGUGGGGGAUAUUGCACAAUGGGGGGAACCCUGAUGCAGCGACGCCGCGUGGGUGAAGGAGUGCUUCGGCAUGUAAAGCCCUAUCGGCAGGGAAGAAGCAAGACGGUACCUGACUAAGAAGCCCCGGCUAACUACGUGCCAGCAGCCGCGGUAAUACGUAGGGGGCGAGCGUUAUCCGGAUUCACUGGGUGUAAAGGGGGCGUAGACGGCCAUGCAGGCCAGGGGUGAAAGCCCGGGGCCCAACCCCGGGACUGCGCUUGGAACUGUGCGGCUAGAGUGCGGGAGGGGCAGGCGGAAUUCCUGGUGUAGCGGUGAAAUGCGUAGAUAUCAGGAGGAACACCGGCGGCGAAGGCGGCCUGCUGGACAGCGACUGACGUUGAGGCUCGAAAGUGUGGGGAGCGAACAGGAUUAGAUACCCGAGUAGUC
rnacentral:rRNA from 1 species